rnacentral:rRNA from 1 species
CCGCCGAAAUUGUUCGAUGAUCUUUACCGGUUGUCGCUCGGUUUCGGCAAUUUUACUUUGAAAAAAUUAGAGUGCUCAAAGCAUGCGUGACGCAUGAAUAAUGGUGCAUGGAAUAAUGGAAUAGGACCUCGGUUCUAUUUUGUUGGUUUUCGGAACACGAGGUAAUGAUUAAGAGGGACAGACGGGGGCAUUCGUAUUGCGACGCUAGAGGUGAAAUUCUUGGACCGUCGCAAGACGAACUACUGCGAAAGCAUUUGCCAAGAAUGUUUCCAUUAAUCAAGAACGAAAGUUAGAGGUUCGAAGGCGAUCAGAUACCGCCCUAGUUCUAACCAUAAACGAUGCCAGCCAGCGAUCCGGCUGUGUUCCUCAAAUGACACGCCGGGCAGCUUCCGGGAAACCAAAGCUUUUGGGUUCCGGGGGAAGUAUGGUUGCAAAGCUGAAACUUAAAGGAAUUGACGGAAGGGCACUACCAGGAAUGGAGCCUGCGGCUUAAUUUGACUCAACACGGGGAAGCUUACCUGGAUAGGACACAGGAAGGAUUGACAGAUUAAGAGCUCUUUCUUGAUUCUGUGGAAGGUGGUGCAUGGCCAUUCUUAGUUGGUGGAGCGAUUUGUCUGGUUAAUUCCGAUAACGAUCGAGACUCUAGCCUACUAAAUAGACGUUCCGAUCCUUGCUGUCGGACGCUCUUCUUAGAGGGACACGCGGCGUUUAGCCGCACGAGACAGAGCAAUAGUAGGUCUGUGAUGCCCUUAGAUGUCCAGGGCCGCACGCGCGCUACAAUGAAGGAAUCAGCGUGUGCUUUCCCUGUCCGACAGGACUGGGUAACCCGUUGAACCUCCUUCGUGCUUGGGAUAGGCGUUUGUAAUUGUCCGCCUUGAACGAGGAAUUCCCAGUAAGCGCGAGUCAUCAGCUCGUGUUGAUUACGUCCCUGCCCUUUGUGCACACCGCCCGUCGCAACAUCCGAUGGAAUGAUUUAGUG